rnacentral:rRNA from 1 species
GAACGCUGGCGGCAGGCCUAACACAUGCAAGUCGAACGGUAACAGGAAGCAGCUUGCUGCUUGCUGACGAGUGGCGGACGGGUGAGUAAUGUCUGGGAAACUGCCUGAUGGAGGGGGAUAACUACUGGAAACGGUAGCUAAUACCGCAUAACGUCGCAAGACCAAAGAGGGGGACCUUCGGGCCUCUUGCCAUCAGAUGUGCCCAGAUGGGAUUAGCUUGUUGGUGGGGUAACGGCUCACCAAGGCGACGAUCCCUAGCUGGUCUGAGAGGAUGACCAGCCACACUGGAACUGAGACACGGUCCAGACUCCUACGGGAGGCAGCAGUGGGGAAUAUUGCACAAUGGGCGCAAGCCUGAUGCAGCCAUGCCGCGUGUAUGAAGAAGGCCUUCGGGUUGUAAAGUACUUUCAGCGGGGAGGAAGGUGUUGUGGUUAAUAACCACAGCAAUUGACGUUACCCGCAGAAGAAGCACCGGCUAACUCCGUGCCAGCAGCCGC